rnacentral:rRNA from 1 species
CAGUCGCCGCGGGAAUACGAAGGGGGCUAGCGUUGCUCGGAAUUACUGGGCGUAAAGGGAGCGUAGGCGGACAUUUAAGUCAGGGGUGAAAUCCCAGAGCUCAACUCUGGAACUGCCUUUGAUACUGGGUGUCUUGAGUGUGAUAGAGGUAUGUGGAACUCCGAGUGUAGAGGUGAAAUUCGUAGAUAUUCGGAAGAACACCAGUGGCGAAGGCGACAUACUGGAUCAUUACUGACGCUGAGGCUCGAAGGCGUGGGGAGCAAACAGGAUUAGAUACCCCCGUAGUCCCUGUCUCUUAUAC